rnacentral:pre_miRNA from 1 species
CUGUUACUCCCUCCGUUUGGAAAUACUUGUCGGAAAAAUGAAUGUAUCUAGAUGUAUUUUAGUUCUAGAUACAUCCAUUUUGGCGACAAGUAUUUCCGAACGGAGGGAGUACUAU